CCUGCCGAUUUUGAUGUCCACCUGCAAAGAUUGUCUCCCUACUUGAAACUGAAUUGUGAAACGUGUUUGAUAGAGGUGACCGAUUCAAAUUUCUAUUGGCACUUCGAUCAACAACGCUAAUGGGAUUUAUAACAGUUAGGCGUGUACGAUAAAUCUUCUCUUGAACCUCUCUUUCAAAAAACAGAAAGUUCAUAAGAUCUACCACGCGGCCGGCUCAAUGACGCGGUCUGAAGUUCGGCUCAAGAAUGAGCGCUAAGCAAUUUGAUUACUGCGGUAA